rfam:Kwoniella mangroviensis CBS 10435 unplaced genomic scaffold supercont2.2, whole genome shotgun sequence.
GGGGAUGUAGCUCAUUUGGCAGAGCGCGUCAUUAGCAAUCUACAAAUAGAAAAUCUUGACGAGGUACCGGGUUCAAUUACCUGCUUCUCCA